GCGGAUGUGGUGUAAUUGGUAGCCACGCCAGACUUAGGAUCUGGUGCCGCGAGGCGUGGGGGUUCGAGUCCCUUCAUCCGCACCA
rnacentral:tRNA from 1 species